rnacentral:rRNA from 1 species
AUUGAACGCUGGCGGCAUGCCUUACACAUGCAAGUCGAACGGCAGCACGGGUGCUUGCACCUGGUGGCGAGUGGCGAACGGGUGAGUAAUACAUCGGAACGUACCUUAUCGUGGGGGAUAACGCAGCGAAAGCUGUGCUAAUACCGCAUACGCCCUGAGGGGGAAAGCGGGGGAUCGAAAGACCUCGCGCGACUAGAGCGGCCGAUGCCUGAUUAGCUUGUUGGUGGGGUAAAAGCCCACCAAGGCGACGAUCAGUAGCUGGGCUGAGAGGACGAUCAGCCACACUGGGACUGAGACACGGCCCAGACUCCUACGGGAGGCAGCAGUGGGGAAUGUUGGACAAUGGGGGCAACCCUGAUCCAGCAAUGCCGCGUGAGUGAAGAAGGCCUUCGGGUUGUAAAGCUCUUUUGUCAGGGAAGAAACACCGGCUCUAACACAGUCCGGGAAUGACGGUACCUGAAGAAUAAGCACCGGCUAACUACGUGCCAGCAGCCGCAGUAA